CAAUUUGACCAGGACUUAUAAAAUGGAUAUGAGAAUCUAUACCACCAGCAGUUAUAAUUUUACCCUCAGCAGACAAUAUUUCAGUGUUUGCUCCUAUUUCUAAACCUUCUGUAAUACCAUCACAAAGAUUUGGAUUUCCAGAUUUUCCAAUAGCUAUUAUUACACCAUCUUUGAUACCUAUAUCAGCUUUGUAAAUACCUGUAUAAUCAAUAAUAACAGCAUUUGUAAUAAUCAAAUCAGCAACAUCAACAGCCGUUGGACUUUGUGCCAUACCAUCUCUUA
rnacentral:sRNA from 1 species